rfam:Drosophila simulans chromosome 2R, whole genome shotgun sequence.
UUUGUUUUAGUACGUAGGCAUAGUUCCACUAGGGAUUAUGAAUCGUGCAUGCCACAUAUGGACGGUAGGUGGUAUCUUUAGAAGAUUACAAUU